UUAUUACAAAUCGUUCGUAUUCUCUCAAAAACUGGUCGCGAAGGGGAAAGGAGAGGGCCUCAAACGGUUCCUCUGCAUCGCGUUGCUUUCUAGGCCUGCAGUCUCCGCUAUAUCUCUGCAUUGGAAAAAUAUGAGCGAACCAUCUGUUCUAAAUACUGUAUACCAUACAGUGUAUAGCAUGACCCCUCGUGGCAGAGGUUAGGGGUCCGAAAAGGUGUUGAAGCUAGCUGGAAGGAACGAAACUUAGAAUAUCUGUCUGUUCCUGGUGUUGGUCUCCUAUUGUGGAGGAAAGCUAGUCCGUGGGUUUCGAACUACCGCACUGAUUAGAGGGACAUUCACAGGAGAAAAACACCCAGACAACUAGAACUCAGAAAAGUGAAGACCCAAAGGAACUCCGGCAUCUACAGGGCACUUGAUGUCGUGUCCCUUAAAAUGUAAGAAGCGGCUAGGCAUGGUGGCGCACGCC
rnacentral:lncRNA from 1 species